UGAAAUUAAGCAAGGUCCUGGAUCCCAGAAACAGGUCCACAGGUUCUUCGGUAUGCCGAGCAGGAGAGACAAUGCCUGAGUUUCAUUCACUGAGCCUUCCUUCAAGUUCCCAGCUGAUUAGACUGUAAGCUCGCCAAGGGCAGGGAGCAUGUCUGAUCACCUCUGUUAUCCUCAUACCUGGGAUGCAACAGGAGAACUUCUCAUGAAUGAAUGAUGACUGUCUUCUGGGAGACUCCUCUGGCUGGGAACCCAUCAGUCAUAUUCAUAACUGGGAUGUGAAUCACUUCUUCAGAACAGAGCAUAAUAACUAAACCUUCCAGGAUGAGAACAUUUUACUGUGACACUCUCCUUUGCCUCCCACCUAUGCUGAAAAGAAAUUCAAACAGCCUGCUUGGUUCCACAUGUCAGUGUCUGCUGGAUGAGAAUUCUGUUGCUUUUUAGAACUGUGAGACUUAACCUGGUUACAAGAUGCCAGUAACGAACCCUUGAUCUAUUUAAUCAACGAAGAUUAUAAAUGUGUUUAUAUGAUGUCAAUUGCUAUUUAAGCAGGAACCCAUUUUCAGUUUUGGUAUUUAGGGGUUGGUUUUUAUUUUUUGUUAUUUUUUUCUUCCUUUUUGAAAAAUGCUGAGGGAUAUUUUGAUAAGGUUAGUCAUGCAUGUUAGGUUUUCAUUUUGCAAGUAUGUCUUUUUUAAUGUAUAAAAAUAUAAGAAAAGGGAGAACAGUAAGAAGGGGAAGCACUUACAUUACUUUUCAGUACUUUAUUAAAGCACCUACUGGGUGCCUUGUGCAUAGUGAAACACCAUAUAUGUGAGGAGUAUAUGUGAGAGAAUAGACUAUAAAAGUCACACGAUCUGGACCUGCAGAGGAAUACUGACUAAGAGAAGGAAACACCAGCAUGGCAAACUUAGUGUUAACAGGUGAGUUACCCUCAGCUGGGGACUCAGGACUCAGUUUCUGGAAUAAGGGAGACCAUUAAGAAAACCAAACUUCUUGGAACUGUAUCUCACAAACUUUUGAAACAUGUAGACUUCAGAGUUCAGCUGAAUUUGGAUUAAUCAUUCUGUAGCUAUCUGUAUAAAUCUCACUCUUCUUGCCACCUGGCUUCUGGGUUGAUAAUUGGUGGGCGACAACCCUUCUGCCACUGUUUUAUUUUUAUUUUCAUUUUUAUUUUUAUUAUUUUUUAAAUCAUGACUCUUUCCCCUUAAGCUGUUAAAUUCAAACAAUUUAUGUUUAAUGAAAGAAUUCUGUUUUGUUUGUUUGAUGGGUCCCAGAAAACACUAAUAAAAAGCACAGAGGCC
rnacentral:lncRNA from 1 species